rnacentral:rRNA from 1 species
CCUACGGGGGACAGCAGUGGGGAAUAUUGCACAAUGGAGGAAACCCUGAUGCAGCAACGCCGCGUGAGUGAAGAAGUAUUUCGGUAUGUAAAGCUCUAUCAGCAGGGAAGAAAAUGCCGGUACCUGAGUCAUAAGCCCCGGCUAACUACGUGCCAGCAGCCGCGGUAAUACGUAGGGGGCACGCGUUAUCCGGAUUUACUGGGUGUAAAGGGAGCGUAGACGGCGAUACAAGUCUGAAGUGAAAGCCCGGGGCUCAACCCCGGGACUGCUUUGGAAACUGUGUUGCUGGAGUGCUGGAGAGGCAAGCGGAAUUCCUAGUGUAGCGGUGAAAUGCGUAGAUAUCAGGAAGAACACCAGUGGCGAAGGCGGCUUGCUGGACAGUAACUGACGUUGAGGCUCGAAAGCGUGGGGAGCAAACAGGAUUAGAUACCCGUGUAGUC